UACAGAGGUCCCAAGCGUUGUUCGGAUUCAUUGGGCGUAAAGGGUGCGUAGGUGGCGGGGUAAGUCAGGUGUGAAAUUUCGGAGCUUAACUCCGAAACUGCAUUUGAUACUGCCUUGCUUGAGGACUGGAGAGGAGACUGGAAUUCACGGUGUAGCAGUGAAAUGCGUAGAUAUCGUGAGGAAGACCAGUGGCGAAGGCGGGUCUCUGGACAGUUCCUGACACUGAGGCACGAAGGCCAGGGGAGCAAACGGG
rnacentral:rRNA from 1 species